AUAACUAUUGACUUAAUGGAUGAUGGUGGUUGAUGUGAACCUAAAAGAUUAAUGCAUAGCUAAAAAUGACAUCUCAGAUCUUGAAACAUGUAGUUUUCUGGGCUGUAAAUAUUCUCUAUUUAAUACCAAAACAUAAAGUUGAACCUUAGUAAUAAUUCUUUCUUCAGCAGUGAUCUGUCUGUGCUGAGAUAUUUUUAUAAUGCUAGCCAUUGAUCUUCUCAAGAGCUGCUGUGUUUGAAAUAAUUAUUUCAAAGAAACAUUGAGAAAGAAGCAAGAUCAUCUUUGCACAAGAUUUUUUUUCAUCUCUUAAAUAUAUUCACUGUAGAAAUACCUCCCUCAGAAGAGGUGAAGAUCAUUCCCAGCAUCCUAGGCUGCUUUUUUCCUGCUCCAUCUGCCAGAAGUUUUGCAGCUGGCACAAUUUGUUUAUUCUGUUCAAUCUGUGCUCUCUUAAACCAGCAAUGAAUUUGAUGAUCAGUGUGCUGGGUUUUUAGCGUGCAGUUUUCUUUCUACUCUGAGCUACUCAUUGACUAUUACCACACAUCACAGUAGCUUUUCCAGUGCUUUCUCCUGCAAGGCAGAGUGGAAGCAAUAGCAGAUGGAUUGUGUGAUGGGGUCUCUGCCUUCUCGGUAGGAACCUGGUGAGUGGAGCUGAGACCUGGCACUUUGUUCUGUUAUUACUGCUGUCAGCACAGAGUCCCCAGCUGCAGUGCACCGAUGAGAGUAGUGACAGUCUGCUUUUGCAGACAUGAAAGUUGUGAGGAGCCUGUUAGCUACCAGAAAGCCAGUCUUGGGAAGUACCAGUCCUAAGAUCUGGAGGGUAAGACCAGGAAACAGCACUGUGUUUGAGACAGCUGUUGAGCAAGGAAUAUGAGUGACACAGCUCUGCUCCUGGCUCCCUUGUUUGGCCUCUGUUGACCAAAUAGCGCUGACAAUGGGCUAGUGCUGUCCCUCACUGAAGGGAAAAUCCUGCACUUAACAAAAUGCCUUGGAGCAUCAAAGUGAAGUCAGAAAGAGACUGAGAGGAAGGAAGAAUUUUCAGCAGAACAGCUGGAGAAUGUGGAUGGGGAUGUAGUGAUAGGGAGGAGCUACAGGAGCAGUGGGACUGGGCAGGAACAGGGAAAGCUGAUCAAAGUGUGAACAGAUACAAACAAAGAAAUGGGCAUUUAUGACCAUCUCCAUAAUAAAUUAUACCAUUAUUACAGUCUUCACAACCAUACUACCUCUCUCUUCCUAUUCUUCUGAAAAUUAUUGCCUCCCAACAAAGCCCCAGCCCUACAAAUGCUCAUGAUACAUAAUUCAUGUACAUGCAGGACUGUCAUUUUUUUCCCUUGCAGAUCUUCGGAGCACUCUGGAGAGACCCAUUUAUCAGAUCCAAAGCAAAGCUUUGUUUUCUUCUCUCCCCCCAGACAAAACCCUCAAGCCCAGUGCCAGCUCUACAGCAGCCUGUGUGUGUGUGUGCGCAUGCGUGUGCGUGCUCAGGAUCCUGGCAGCUCUCGAACAGAAGUGGUGGAGACCUGGCUGUAGCUGAGGACAAGGACCCCGGGGACAGGUGAAACAUGACCUUUCUGCUGCUGGGGCACUGCCUCUCACCUCAGCACACCAACAAUUUCUGCACAGGAGGACAGGGAGCUGGGGAAGCACUGGAGAGUUUCAGAUCAUAUAAUUGACUUUUUUCCUCUUCCCUCCCCCAGCGUGCUGAAACACCUGUAAAAAGAGCCUUACCUUCUUCUAAAAAUAAGCAAAAGAAGCAGUCUCUAACACCCAAUUAUCUCAGACUGGGAGAAACAGAUGUGAUUAAGGUUUUAAGGUAGCCUUCAAACGGGCAUCUGAAAAUAUGUCCAAACUGCAAAUGACAGCAGACGUGUGGUGGAAGGGAAUGUCGAUGGCAGUCACUGACUUGAGAAGUGCACAGGAUAAUAAAAGAGGUGUUAACAGAUGGGAGAUUUAAAAAAAAGAAAAGAAAAAGAGGGAAGAGCAAGGCCUGUGAAGUAACUGUUGAUGGAAGAAGUGGGAAAAUGUGCUUGGGUGGAUAUGUUUGGAGGAGGGGUCUGAGGCCUCCAGAUCUUGUGCAGCAGAAUUAGCAUUUUCCUUCUCUUGGGAACUGAGUGGCUGAAAAACUCUGGUCUGGGGAAUAUUUUUUCCAGGUGUGUUUCUGUGUUCUAGAGCAAACCCACAACUUCUCUGUGCCAUGCUGUCGUUGAGGCAGUCCCGCACCACCUGGCACCAGCCGUGUCUGUCCCACGGACUGAGUGCUGUGCUGGCCUGCCCUGCUGCAUGUCAUCAAAUGUACUCAGUUCUCAAGCCCUGUCUAAUUCCAUGAGUAGACAGCUAAUCCAGAUAAUCCUUUUGUUUUUUUUAAUUCACACCCCUUCCCCCCCCCCCUCCCAAGAAAUGACACUGCUGUUUUGGUGCCAGGUUGUGUUUAAAGUCUUCUCCAAAUGACUCCCAGGUACUGGGAGGUUGAACAGUCUGAAAGACAAAAUGAGUUCCCCUCCUGAUGCUUGUUGAGACCUGACUUACUCAACACAUUCAUGGCUGCUGCCGACAACCAGAACAGCUCAAGUGUCUUUUUAUGACACUUGCUUUUCUUGCAAAGGAGAUGACAUCUGACUCUUCUCUCAGUAACAAAACCCUCAUGACAGCUCGAAGGACUUGCUGAAAUUGCCAGUGUCCUCUCGCCAUGCACCAAAGCAAUAGGAGCCAGGUGAGGCUGCGGGGAAGGGAGUUGCUGCUCCCCACCGACACCCAUCCCAGUGUGAACAGUGAGCCCCAGAGACAACGGCGAGGACAGCAGCUUCUUUUCUGCAAAAAUAUUUCACAGUCAGACCAUCCAGGAUUUGUUUUUUGCAUCACCAACCUUCAGAUGUACAGGAAAAGUGAUGUUUGUAGAGGACUUUGCUGCUUGUGCCAGCAAUCAGAGCCGAAUUAAGGGACUUGACGCUGAGAGGGGAUGAGGACACUGAGUCAACGUGCAAUCUAAUCCGAUAUGUCAAAGAGAAAGAGGGGCUUUUGUGCUGGUUAAUGGACUGUCCUUUGGAGAUGCAGCGCUUGCCUCCGGGAAUGACGCACACACCGGCCAGGCUGGAGUGCUCAGAAGGAAUUAGGCUGUAUAAUUUCAGGUUGCCUUUGAGUCAAAGAAAGUUUUUAGAGAUUCAUUCCUUAUUUAUUGACAUGUUUGCUUUUGCUGCAGAGAAAGAAAAGGAAAAGUCCUGUGAGAUGAAAAAAAAAUAACAAAACACUUUCCAUCUUACUUCUAAAAAGCGCCUCAGGAUUUUUUACGAAGUCCCGGUUACAAAUUGCCUGCAAAGUUAAUUGGAGGACUGGACAAAAAGCAUGAUUUUUUUUUUCUUUACAUGAAUUCUUGCCUUUGCUUUGCCUAAGUGCACUCUGUGCCUAUGAUGUUGAAUGUGACCAUGUGCAGAAUAAAAAAUGAUUGCUUCUG